UUGUCGAGACGAACACAAUGAGCGAUUUUGUGAACCUGUAAAAAUAAGCGGUGCCUGUAGUGCUGCGAUAAAAUCCACUCGAGUCAUCGCCUCAUCCCCUCUUUGGGGUGGGGACGUGAUGAAGGAUGGAUGAACCCUCAAAUCGGCGCAGCGUAGCGCCAAGGGAAUCUUGAAACACAAGCCCAUAAAUGGGUUUUGUGGGAUGGGGUGCUGUCGCACGCCAUAUUGAUUGACACGACUCUCGGCAAUGGAUAUCUCGGCUCUCGCAUCGAUGAAGAGCGCAGCGAAAUGCGAUAUGUGGUGCGAAUUGCAGAAUCCCGCGAACCAUCGAGUCUUUGAACGCAAGUUGCGCCUGAGGCCAACCGGCUGAGGGCACGUCCGCCUGGGCGUCAAGCAUUUUAUCGCUCCGUGCCUAGUCUCCCAUCCAUGGAUGUGUUGCCAAGGCUCGGAUGUGCACGGUGGCUCGUCGUGCCCCUUGGUGCGGCGGGCUGAAGGGCGGGUCAUCUUCUCGUUGGCUGCCAACAAUAAGGGGUGGAUUAAAUAAGGCCUAUGCUAUUGUGUCAAGCGCGCCUGAGAGAUGGUCAUACUUAUUAGGUGAUCCCAAUUCAUGCGUCGAUCCAUGGAUGGCGUAUCGAAUGUGACCCCAGGAUGGGCGAGGCCA
rnacentral:rRNA from 1 species